GCCGGGUGCAGUGGCGCGCGCCUGUAAUCCAAGCUGCUGGGAGGCUGAGGCUGGCGGAUCGCUUGAGUUCAGGGGUUCUGGGCUGCAGUGGACUAUGUCGAUCGGGUGUCCGCGCUAAGUUCGGUAUCGAUAUGGUGCUCCUGGGGGAGCUCGGGACCACCAGGUUGUCUAAGGAGGGGUGAACCGGCCCAGGUCGGAGACGGAGCAGGUCAAAGCCCCCGUGCCGAUCAGUAGUGGGGUCGCGCCUGUGAAUAGACACUGCAGUGCAGCCUGAGCGAUACAGCGAGACUCAGACUUUU
rnacentral:SRP_RNA from 12 species